rnacentral:rRNA from 1 species
GACGAACGCUGGCGGCGUGCCUAAUACAUGCAAGUAGAACGCACAGUUUAUACCUUAGCUUGCUACACCAUAGACUGUGAGUUGCGAACGGGUGAGUAACGCGUAGGUAACCUGCCUGGUAGCGGGGGUUAACUAUUGGAAACGAUAGCUAAUACCGCAUAAUAUUAAUUAUUGCAUGAUAAUUAAUUGAAAGGUGCAAUUGCACCACUACCAGAUGGACCUGCGUUGUAUUAGCUAGUAGGUGAGGUAACGGCUCACCUAGGCGACGAUACAUAGCCGACCUGAGAGGGUGAUCGGCCACACUGGGACUGAGACACGGCCCAGACUCCUAAGGGAGGCAGCAGUAGGGAAUCGUCGGCAAUGGACGAAAGUCUGACCGAGCAACGCCGCGGGAGGGAAGAAGGUUGUCGGAUCGUAAAGCUCUGUUGUAAGAGAAGAACGGGUGUGAGAGUGGAAAGUUCACACUGUGACGGUAUCUUACCAGAAAGGGACGGCUAACUACGUG